GAAGAUACACAACCCAUAAAAUGGGAUUUGUGGUCUAAAACCGACGAUGGCAGACAUGUGCUAAAGUAUUCCAAAGUAGCAAUUUUCAAAUGGUUUCCCCUUCAUAAACCCUCUGGGAAAUUUCAAGUCAUUUUUUGUAGAAAUCUAAACAAUGUCUUUGUAUUUUUUUCAAUUUGCAUUAGUGAAAAAUGCUGAUAUUUCCUAAAACAGAUCAUUUAGGCAGAUUGCUCUAAAAACAGUAAAACGGCUAAAGUUCUGGCAUAGGAUUUAACAAAAAAAAGUCCACUUCACAGAUGGUAAAACUGGAAAGUAUUCCAGGCAUUGUCAGGAUCCUGGCCCCGUUGUGUGUUUGUGUGGGUGUGCACACAUGCGUCUUUUCUUUUCCUCCAGGUUGGUCUCAUGUGGCUGAUGCACCUGUUCCCUGUUACAUUAAGGGCCAGCCUUCUAUCCACUCACCAACACUUCACCAUCAUUUGGUGUUUUGUACCAGGCCGGCUCACAGUCGAGCUUUCUCUCUUUCCUCAAAGCCUUUUGGAUUUUUUUUUUCCCUUUUUCCACAGAAUUCCAGUUUUCUUUUGGCAAAACAAGAACCUUCUUGCUCAGAUUUGAGAUUCUGAAGCAGAGAAAAGCAGCUGAUAUGCAACACUUUACAGAAGACCAUUGAGCACAAGCAGCUUGCGACAAGGUAACAGCAGCUUCUGACAGGACAUCAGCCUCCAGCCCCUGAUGUGAGCAGUCAUUUCCUUAUCCAUCUUUUCCUCCGUCUGCCA